AUACCACUUUUACAAUGAAAGGAGGCGUGCUUCAUUGCCAUUGCUCAAAAUGUUACUCUGUUCCGGUUCGGAAACGGGUGCGUAAGCGGACCCCAUCUCUAACCUUGCUGUCUCUUCCUGAGGAGGUCUUACUCUGUGUGCUUCAAACGCCUCUCUGCUGAAGACCUGCUUUCUGUCAGAGUAGUUCACUCUCAGCUACGAUGACAUUGUUGACAACCAUUCCAGUGUUUGGGCCAGGAUCAGUUUUAAAAGAUACUUGGCCUAAUCCUACAACAUUAUGGCUUUUUGAAA